rnacentral:rRNA from 1 species
AGACAGCAGCAGCCACGGGAAUACGUAGGUGGCAAGCGUUGCUCGGAAUGACUGGGCGUAAAGGGCGCGUAGGCGGAAUGCUUUGUCGGGCGUGAAAUUCCAGGGCUCAACCUGGGAACUGCGUUUGGGACUGGUUGGCUUGAGUUCGGGAGAGGAGAGUGGAAUUCCCAGUGUAGAGGUGAAAUUCGUAGAUAUUGGGAAGAACACCGGUGGCGAAGGCGGCUCUCUGGACCGAUACUGACGCUGAGGCGCGAAAGCGUGGGGAGCAAACAGGAUUAGAUACCCCCGUAGUCCCUGUCUCUUAUAC